rnacentral:misc_RNA from 1 species
CAAGGAUGCAGUACUGCAUUUUCCCUUCUUGGGCUCAGUCAUGAAGUCCAAGCAGAAACACACAUAACAAUGAUAGAAUUUGGCUAAAUAAAUAUUGACAUAGAAGAAUGGGUAUGCACACUAUAUGUUGCCAAUCAGGCUAUUAUAUUCGCUUUGUAGAACAUGUCAAAUUGAGACACUAUUGGGAAUUCCUUUACCAGUAAGUCCACUUUCACUGUUGUCACCUGAGGCAUUGGGGUAUAGUAACAUAUAUGGCACCUUAACUGGUCCGUUGCGAUUCUUCCAUCUGCUGUCACUGUUCCUUUCCACUAUUCUGUUCUCAAUGUCUACUAAUCUGUCGUGGAAUCUUUGAAAUGAUUGUCGUGGUUCAACAUCUGAAGUCCACUCUGGAUUUUCUCUCUGUCCCAGAUAUAUCUCUUCUGAAGAAUGUCGUGACAAUAUUUCAAUUAAUG